rnacentral:rRNA from 1 species
CCUACGGGGGGCAGCAGUGGGGAAUAUUGGACAAUGGGCGAAAGCCUGAUCCAGCCAUGCCGCGUGUGUGAAGAAGGCCUUCGGGUUGUAAAGCACUUUCAGUGGGGAAGAAAGCCUUGGGGCUAAUACCCUCGAGGAAGGACAUCACCCACAGAAGAAGCACCGGCUAACUCCGUGCCAGCAGCCGCGGUAAUACGGAGGGUGCGAGCGUUAAUCGGAAUUACUGGGCGUAAAGCGCGCGUAGGCGGUCUGAUAAGCCGGUUGUGAAAGCCCCGGGCUCAACCUGGGAACGGCAUCCGGAACUGUCAGGCUAGAGUGCAGGAGAGGAAGGUAGAAUUCCCGGUGUAGCGGUGAAAUGCGUAGAGGUCGGGAGGAAUACCAGUGGCGAAGGCGGCCUUCUGGACUGACACUGACGCUGAGGUGCGAAAGCGUGGGUAGCAAACAGGAUUAGAUACCCUAGUAGUC